rnacentral:rRNA from 1 species
GGGGCGUAAGCGCGCGCAGGUGGUUUGUUAAGUCGGAUGUGAAAGCCCCCGGCUCAACCGGGGAGGGGCAUUGGAAACUGGGAGACUUGAGUGCAGAAGAGGAUGGUGGAAUUCCCUGUGUAGCGGUGAAAUGCGUAGAGAUAUGAAGGAACACCAGUGGCGAAGGCGACCUCCUGGACUGAAACUGACACUGAGGCGCGAAAGCGUGGGGAGCAAACACGAUUACAUACCC